GAUGAAGAACGUAGCGAAAUGCGAUAAGUAAUGUGAAUUGCAGAAUUCAGUGAAUCAUCGAAUCUUUGAACGCACAUUGCGCCCCCCAGUAUUCUGGCGGGCAUGCCUGUUCGAGCGUCAUUUCAACCAUCAAGCCCUGCUUGUGUUGGGGUCCUGCGGCUGCCCGCAGGCCCUGAAAACCAGUGGCGGGCUCGCUAGUCACACCGAGCGCAGUAGCACAUCUCGCUCAGGGCGUGCGGCGGGCUCCAGCCGUUAAAGCACCCACCUUUCGCAAGGUUGACCUCGGAUCAGGUAGGAAUACCCGCUGAACUUAAGCAUAUCAAUUAAGCGGAGGA
rnacentral:misc_RNA from 1 species